rnacentral:rRNA from 1 species
AGAGUUUGAUCAUGGCUCAGGACGAACGCUGGCGGCGUGCUUAACACAUGCAAGUCAAGGAGAAAGUUUCCUUCGGGAAAUCAUUAAACUGGCGCACGGGUGAGUAAUAUAUAAGCAAUCUACCUAAAGGUUCGGAAUAACGUCGAGAAAUCGGUGCUAAUACCGUAUAACGCAACAGCAUCGCAUGAUGUUGUUGUUAAAGUUCUUGAAACGCCUAUAGAUGAGCUUGUAUCUGAUUAGCUUGUUGGUAAGGUAAUGGCUUACCAAGGCUACGAUCAGUAGCUGGUCUGAGAGGAUGAUCAGCCACAUUGGAACUGAGACACGGUCCAGACUCCUACGGGAGGCAGCAGUGAGGAAUAUUGGGCAAUGGGCGAAAGCCUGACCCAGCAACGCCGCGUGGAGGAUGAAUGUCGUAAGAUUGUAAACUCCUUUUAGAGGGGACGAAAAAACAGGUUGAAAGCCUGAAUUGACGGUACCCUCAGAAUAAGCCCCGGCUAACUACGUGCCAGCAGCCGCGGUAAUACGUAGGGGGCAAGCGUUGUCCGGAUUUACUGGGUGUAAAGGGUGCGCAGGCGGACUUGUCAGUCAGGGGUGAAAUCCUACAGCUUAACUGUAGAACUGCCUUUGAUACUGCAAGUCUUGAG